rnacentral:rRNA from 1 species
AUGAACGCUGGCGGCGUGCCUAAUACAUGCAAGUCGAGCGAACAGACGAGGAGCUUGCUCCUCUGACGUUAGCGGCGGACGGGUGAGUAACACGUGGAUAACCUACCUAUAAGACUGGGAUAACUUCGGGAAACCGGAGCUAAUACCGGAUAAUAUAUUGAACCGCAUGGUUCAAUAGUGAAAGACGGUUUUGCUGUCACUUAUAGAUGGAUCCGCGCCGCAUUAGCUAGUUGGUAAGGUAACGGCUUACCAAGGCAACGAUGCGUAGCCGACCUGAGAGGGUGGUCGGCCACACUGGAACUGAGACACGGUCCAGACUCCUACGGGAGGCAGCAGUAGGGAAUCUUCCGCAAUGGGCGAAAGCCUGACGGAGCAACGCCGCGUGAGUGAUGAAGGUCUUCGGAUCGUAAAACUCUGUUAUUAGGGAAGAACAAAUGUGUAAGUAACUAUGCACGUCUUGACGGUACCUAAUCAGAAAACCACGGCUAACUACGUG